GGCCCCGUAGCUCAGCAGGAUAGAGCGCAGGAUUCCUAAUCCUGAGGCCACUGGUUCGAAUCCAGUCGGGGUCACCA
rnacentral:tRNA from 4 species